rnacentral:rRNA from 1 species
GACGUAGGGCGCGAGCGUUGUCCGGAUUUAUUGGGCGUAAAGAGCUCGUAGGCGGCCUGUCGCGUCGACUGUGAAAACCCGCAGCUCAACUGCGGGACUGCAGUCGAUACGGGCAGGCUAGAGUUCGGUAGGGGAGACUGGAAUUCCUGGUGUAGCGGUGAAAUGCGCAGAUAUCAGGAGGAACACCGGUGGCGAAGGCGGGUCUCUGGGCCGAUACUGACGCUGAGGAGCGAAAGCGUGGGGGAGCGAACAGG